CCUACUGGCCAGUCAGUAUGUCAAGUCCUCAGUCCAGGGUCCAAGCCGAGGUCCAUCAACAUUGGCAGUUGAGCACACCCAGCACCUCAGCUCUGCUUCCCUCUGGUGGUUUGCAUGCUGAUUGCAGCAUCUGGGCUUGACGAGGCAGGUGACCCUCACCUGUUCUAAGCCUGCUCCAUCUGAGGAAUCACACCCCUCCUUCCAGAGCUAGCGAGCCCCACCUGGCCAGCUAGGGAGCUGGGCUGUGGACCCUUGCCUGCCUCAGCCUCCUAGAGCACUCUGCCUGCUGCUCCCUACACCUCAGAGCCCACUGUGUUUGUGGAAACAGGGUUUCCCUCUGGCUCUGGUGAUGGGUCCUGCUGCUCUGGUUCCUCUGCACUGACUCCCUCCCCUCACCAUCCUCUUUCACCCCGUGAGUACUUCCUACACCAACCUCUCCUUCCCCAUCCCCUGCUUGCCUCCCCGGUGCGUCCCAGUCCUGGCUACACCCCUCACUGGGAUCCUCUUCCUCUUCCCAGUUGUGCUGCCAGUUCAUUACAUUGGGGAUCCAAUGGAAGAGGGCUUUCUCAGUGGCAUCUCCCAGACUUUGGAACUUCUAGAGAAGCUAGACUGGCUCCCUCCUUGUUGUCCUUCUGCUGGCAGGUGGAGAAUGUUUUAUUCUGGCAGGCCUUGGGAAACUAGCUGUUUUUUUAAGGAAGUGGCUUUUAAAAGUGCUG